UUGAUAGAGUUAGAUUCAGUCGAAUACGGACCACGGCCGGCGAUCCGUCGAACAAUUCAAUCUACCAAGUUUAUCGCGAACAAUUGAUAAUAAAAAAUAAAUAAAUAAUUACUUGUGUCCGGAUGAACGAAUCAUGCUCCUAACCCCAUUUGGUGAAGAUGGACUCUACUAAACCUUUUUGUGAAUAAUGAACAGUUUUUGUCAGUGUUCACCAACUAUCAACCCCCGAUACUAAUUAAGUGCGACUGAUCAUUAAUUGACAUGUCUCGAGUGAUUUACCCAAAGCAAUUAACUAAUUAACCAAUUACUUAAGUACAGCUAAUUACAAACCCAGCGAAAGGUACACAUACCUGCACAACUGCAUAUACUCACAUUUCAAUAAUAUGAAUAUUUCCUGUUCAUGUAAACCACUCAAUUAAUUUAAUCACUGAUAAAUUGAACAUUUAAAUUUCCUUCUUGAACACGAAUAAAUUUUACCUAAAUUAGAGUUCACGGUCUGUUUUAUUUAAACUUUAAUUAUCAAUUAAUACAAAAAAUGCACAUGACCAUAAAUAUCUUGAAGCUAUAAAUGCUUAUGAUGACCAUUACAAAUAAAAGUACUUAAUACAUCAUAUAUAUUACAGAUUCAUUCAGUAAAACCAUUAGUGUAAUAGAAACAAUUGGAAGAAAACAUGCGGUGCUUACAAAGUGUUAUUAUAAAUCCGCGACUCACGACGGAAAUAAAUUGUCAAAUGGACAAUGAAUGAAUUAAAAUUACGAAUAUUCAUUUUAUAAACUCACGUUCUAAACCAAACGAACAAUAUAACAGUCUAACAAAUCAAAUGAACAAUUAAAUCUGAGUGAUUAAAAAAAUUGCAAGAAAAACAUAUGUGUGAUGAAUUAUUGAAGAUUUGAAAGAGCUUUACAGUUUGAGUAAAGGUUGAUUUUAUAGAAAUUUAUGUUAGUGAAAAAUAUCACCUUUUAUUAAUGAGUGCACAAUUAACAAUUGUUCAAAAUUUUAAAUUUCUCUGGUGUCCUGGAGGCGCACUUACCAUGGGGAGGCUUAGAGGUAAGAAGAUAUCUCAAAAAAUGAGACUGUAUCGACAGCGAACAAGUAAAAAAAAUACAAGCGGUCAAUGAAUGUGUGUUAAGGAAGCCAGAGUACAGUUUCAACCACCAAAAAAAGCACAUAAACAUAACAAGGCAGCAAAACCUAUCACAG